CACGUAGGGCGCGAGCGUUGUCCGGAAUCAUUGGGCGUAAAGAGCGUGUAGGCGGCUCGGUAAGUCCGCUGUGAAAGUCCAGGGCUCAACCCUGGAAUGCCGGUGGAAACUGUCGAGCUAGAGUCCGGAAGAGGCGAGUGGAAUUCCUGGUGUAGCGGUGAAAUGCGUAGAGAUCCGGAGGAACACCGACGGCGCAGGCAGCGCCCUAGACGAGACCUGACGCUCAGGCACGAAAGCGCGGGGAGCGAACAGG
rnacentral:rRNA from 1 species